rnacentral:tRNA from 1 species
UCUGUAGCUCAGUUGGAUAGAGCGACGGAUUCCUAAUCCGCAGGCCACAGGUUCAAUUCCUGUCAGGGG